rnacentral:piRNA from 1 species
UCUCCAUGGGCUGCUGGGAGAAAGGCUGC